rnacentral:sRNA from 1 species
UUGCUAUCUGCGAUUUACAAGAUUCGAACCUGCUGCAGGUUCGGGUCGAACGUAGUGAGACAACGGAGCCGUUAACGGUGACGGCCCGAAGGGCGAGCGAAGCGAGUCAUCCUGCACGCCCCACCA